CUAUAGAGCCCCAGGGGGAGUUUCCUCAGCCCUGGAAUUCAGGACACUUUCCUGCUUUUAUGAUACUGUCUUCACCCUCUGCAUACCAACCCCUCCCCAAUACAAAUUGGUGGCAAGUAGGUGGAGGAAGGAGGGUCCACUGGAGAACCCCCCCUUACCACCCAGCCCAGGAGCAAACAAUUUCUCCCCAGGGCUCAGAAGCUGCCUGUGAGCUUCUUGUUUGGGGCUCACACUGAGUUCCCCCUGUCCUUUAUUUGAGAUGAGUGACUCGUGACACCACAACUGCUGAAUCUACAGCCUCCAAAACCAUGCUGGGGUCCAAUCUCUAGCCCGGGCAGGAGGCAUUCUGCUGGUGCAUCUCAGUGUGCCCCCACGCUGUCCCGAUCCUGCCUGCAGAGACGGCCCCCAGUCUCCAAUUCAUUCCACCUCCCAGGACAAGCCUACAACAUCCUUUACUGACAUCUCCUUCAGGGAAACAAACAGCAAAACAAGCAGAACAUGCCCACCCCAGAUGGGGAGUUAUGAAGCCUGACACCCAUCCAAAGCUCCUGCAGCUAGAUGUGGCUCUUGGCUCUGAUCCUGACCCCUCCUGGGGGCCUCAAUGGAUUCUGACCCAUGGAUUUGUUCCUGAGGGAAGAAUGCAUGUUGCAUUUUGCCAAGUUGCUCUCAGCUUUUUCCUGCCUGUAUGCCAUCUUUCUGCAAACUACCAGCGCUGGCCGCCUCGCACAGCGAUAAUCAGCCUGUCAGUCAAUAAACUGAAGAUGUUGGUGGUGUGCUGGGGUUGGUGGCCAGCAGUGAGAGCCCUGAGAGUUAUAAAUUCAAGAUGAGAAUUGAGAUGUUGCCAAGGCUUCACAGAGUCCCUGAUUUACUAGGAAAUUGUUCCCUAGCCUUGACUGCUGGCCCUGUUAUGCAAGGGACUUUGUGUGGGCUGGGGGGAUGGUUGAAGGAAAGACAAAAAAUAAAAGACCAGAAGCCAGUGUUUAGGCACAGUGGAUAGGACAUUCCCUACCCCACUGCAUUUGGUCACCUAUGGUCUGCUAUUUAACCUGUCUUAACCAUGUUCUGAUUUGCAUGUGCUUGCUUACUUUCUCCAACUAUUUUACAGACCCCUUGAAGGCAGACACUGGCUCAUAUUUCUGGUGUCUUCCUCCCCCACCCCAUUCUAGGCCUCUAGCACCACGCUGGGCUCAUGGGAAAGCCGAUUGAUUAACUGGCUGAAUGUGGAGGAGGAGGGGUUAAUUAAUCCUAGAAAGAAGGCCUCCCAGAGAAGUCCUCCAUGCCUGCUCCCUGAGGACCAUGAACCUCCCCUAGUCACCCUCUGCCAGCCCAGGCCCUCCUGAGCCUGGUUCUGACACUGUGGGCUCUAGACUGGGCCUUCCUCCUUCAGCCUCUGGGGACAGGUUGCUGGCCUGCAGUUCUGAAUAUUUCAGUUGGCUCCAUGCGUAGGGCCUGCUCCAAGGCCAAUCUGAAUGAAUUUGGCCACCUCCCUGUUUUACAAGUCCCGUUCCUAAACUGGAGCCUACAAACAUCUCCCUGCCUUCCUGCACAACGUGUGGCUCUGUUCCCUCAGAGAGAAAACAGUCUGAACCGUCCUGAGCCCAUUUCCUUUCCAGGUUUUGCUAGUCUCUUCUCUCGUUGAGGAAGGAUGUGCUGGGCCCCAGCCCUGGGUGUGCAUGGGGCAGCAACCUGGGCAGCAGUUAGAGAACAGCAAAGGAGGGUCUCCACUCUCCUGAAGCUCCCAGCCCACUGCGGGGACCAGAACAUAAGGAUCAUUGCGAAACCCGUCGAGGCCAUGUUUGCUUGAUAAGCACCACAUGUGUGGAGAGAGAGCUCAUCCCAGCCCAGCUUUGGCUCUCCUGGGUGGGCUGGGGUCUGGGGGGAACCCACAGAAAAAAUGGGAAGAGAAUGCUUCCAAGAGCAUGGAGAGCCAGCUCAGCUACUCACCAGCUGUGUGACUUUGGGCAAAUUACCUAACAUCUCAGGAGUUAGGUUCUUUAUCCACACACCAAGAUUCCCUGAUAUUCUAGGAUUCUGAUGGGGCAUGGCACAGAGCUGCAGCCUUGUUGCUACAAGGCUUUGAGAACUCACUGAGCUUGAGGCAGAGGUCCAGACCAGCAGGGAGGGGCCUGGGGCCUGUGAUCCUAAGCACAGCUUCUCAUGACUGCUAGGUGAGAGGGGUCACACCUGAGAGACUAUGGGGCCAGAACCGAAUCCUUGAGUCUGGAGAUCAGGUGCCUCAGGCCUGGGCUUCAACGCACCCCUGUCCCUGCUUCCCUGGGUCCAUGGCUGCAGUGAGCAAGAAAAAAAGAACCCUAGAUGGGGGGCGGGGCAGAAGCCACAUCAGCACCAACCAGGGCAAACAAAGAUGAACUGUCUUCUAGGCUUGAGGUUGUUCAUUUGCAAACAACAGUAUUUGAGUUGCCACUGUUCCCCGCCUGCCAGGCCAACAGAGGCUGUCUGUGCG
rnacentral:lncRNA from 1 species